GACUCCCGGCAAUGGAUAUCUCGGCUCUUGCAUUGAUGAAGAACAUAGCGAAAUUUGAUACUUAGUGUGAAUUGUAGAAUACCGUGAACCAUCGAGUCUUUGAAUGCAAGUUGCGCCCAAAGCAUUAGGCUGAGGGCACGCCAGCAUGGGUGUUG
rfam:Lupinus angustifolius cultivar Tanjil chromosome LG02, whole genome shotgun sequence.